AUUGAACGCUGGCGGCAGGCUUAACACAUGCAAGUCGAGCGGAGAUGAGGUGCUUGCACCUUAUCUUAGCGGCGGACGGGUGAGUAAUGCUUAGGAAUCUGCCUAUUAGUGGGGGACAACAUUCCGAAAGGAAUGCUAAUACCGCAUACGCCCUACGGGGGACAGCAGGGGAUCUUCGGACCUUGCGCUAAUAGAUGAGCCUAAGUCGGAUUAGCUAGUUGGUGGGGUAAAGGCCUACCAAGGCGACGAACUGUAGCGGGUCUGAGAGGAUGAUCCGCCAAACUGGGACUGAGGCACGGCCCAGACUCCUACGGGAGGCAGCAGUGGGGAAUAUUGGACAAUGGGCGGAAGCCUGAUCCAGCCAUGCCGCGUGUGUGAAGAAGGCCUUUUGGUUGUAAAGCACUUUAAGCUAGGAGGAGGCUCUUAAGGUUAAUACCCUUGAUGAGUGGACGUUACUCGCAGAAUAAGCACCGGCUAACUCUGUGCCAGCCGCCGCCGUAAAAC
rnacentral:rRNA from 1 species